UACGGAGGAUCCAAGCGUUAUCCGGAAUUACUGGGCGUAAAGAGUUGCGUAGGUGGCAUAGUAAGUCGGUAGUGAAAGCGUGGGGCUCAACCCCAUACACAUUAUCGAAACUGCUAAGCUUGAGGAUGAGAGAGGUUAUUGGAAUUCCCUGUGUAGGAGUGAAAUCCGUAGAUAUAGGGAGGAACACCGAUGGCGUAGGCAGAUAACUGGCUCAUUCCUGACACUAAGGCACGAAAGCGUGGGGAGCAAACGGG
rnacentral:rRNA from 1 species